AUGAUUCACCGUCUUGCCAUGUCCAGAGUUCGCGGUCAGGCCCUCAAUUGGUUCAACUCAUUUCUCCAAAACCGGAGCCAAUGUGUGGAGUAUAUGGAUCAAGUCUCUGAAAGAUCUCCCCUCCUAUGUGGGGUACUCCAAGGUGCAAUUCUCUCCCCUCUUCUCUUCAACAUCUAUGUUAGACCCCUUGCUAGUUUGGCUCAGAGUUUCGGCCUAGACUGCUAUCAAUAUGCGGACGACACCCAACUCCUUCUGUGCUUGGAGCCUGGAGCAACGUCAAUACCAGACAAUUUCACCUUAUGUCUGGAGGCUUUGUCGAACUGGCUACAUGCUAGUAGACUGAAGGUGAACCCGGCGAAGACUGAGAUUCUCUGGCAUGGCUGUUCAAUUGGUCUGACCCAUUUGCUACCCACCUUCGAUGGUGCUGCCCUAUCUCCUUCGCCUACUGUUAAGAGCUUGGGUGUCAUUUUGGAUUCGCAGCUGACAAUGGAAGCUCAGGUCACUGCUGCCAGCAAACAGGCCUUUUUCCACCUACGACAAGCAAGGCAAUUGGCACCCUAUCUAUCUGAUGAGGCUCUGGCAACAGUCAUCCAUGCCACGGUCACGUCUAGGCUGGACUAUUGCAAUGCCCUGUAUGUUGGCCUUCCGAUGUCUACGACCCGAAAGCUCCAUAUUGUUCAGAAUGCGGCAGCCAGGCUACUCACAAGAACACCCAUGAAAUGCCAUAUAACACCAGUGCUGCAGCAUUUGCAUAGGCUUUCAACUGAUUACCGUGUUCUAUAUAAGAUGCUAGUUUUGACCUUUAAAAUUCUUUACAGCCAGGGCUCAUCGUACCUUAGGUACCGUCUCUCCUUCUCCCAUCAUCGGAGGUCGCAACAACCAUCCCAACGUGACUUACUUUAUAUACUGGGUCCUAGAGAAGUGCACUUGGAAAGGACCAAACGCAGAGCUUUUUCUAUUUCUGCCCCUGCCUUAUGGAAUGCCUUGCCACCCUAUAUAAGAGCCAUGUUAGGGCUUUUUACCCUAGCACUUAAGACCUGGCUUUUUACUAGAGCUUUUGAUCUAUGUUAA
ensembl:lncRNA